AUUUACUAAAGUGUGGUCACAGAGGAAAACCAAAGCUCUGCCCUUUCAGACUUUCCCCGGAUGAGAGGAAUUUGAUUUGGUACUCAGGGCAGCAGGAAAAGCAUUUGCGAUUGAGUUCGGUUUCGAAGAUUAUUCAAGGGCAGGGAAAUAUAAGGUGCCAAAGGCAAAAUGAAGCUGAAAAGGAGUG